UGUAUAUCUACGUUAUAAAUAUACACAGACAUUUUUUGCAUGCUCAAAAAAAUUCAACAGAUGGAGCACACAAAGAGGUUAGGAGAGCACAGCUCUGCAGGUCACUCUUCUUGCUUUCUGGCCAAAGCCUAGAGACUUCACGCUCCAGCUGCUUCGGCCACUUGUACUUCUCAGAAGCCACCAUUGUGUCUCUCAACACUGCUCUUCUGUACUCGCCGUUUCCUCUGGAUUGUCCCUUACCCUCUCUGGCCUGGUCAACUCCUGUUUGUUCCACUCAGCUGUCAUCCCUGCUAGGAAACAUCCUCUGAUCCACCAGGUUGGAUGUUCUUCGGGGACCCCUCUUGCUUGUGCAUUGCUUUAUCGUGGCAUUUACAUCUCAUGGCUGUGCAAUCGUAUCCCCAUGUCCAUCUCACUCACUGUGAGGUGGAAAUGUAUUCUCUCAUCUCUGUUCUCCAGUACCUAGCAUGAUGGCUGAAGUGACCACGGGGGUCUCGGGGCUCUCUCCUCUCCCAUUCAUGCUGCUAUGAAGAACGCUGACUAAAAAUCUUUGCAAAGAAAACAAACAAACAAAAAAGGAUUAACAUCUUCUCUGAAGUCCCAUUCCUUCUGGAGCCUGGGUCAAAUUGUGACCCCCAGGCCUAGGGUCUCCCUUUAAGAAAGAGCAGAAAGUUCCCCUUCAACAACAUGCCCUGUUUCCGGACUGUGGUUCCUCCAGCACAAAGCAUAACCAAGGACUUCCCCUAAUGGCUCUGUCAGAGCCCUGGCUGAGUGAGCUCCUUCUGCAGAAACUUGAUAACAUCAGACUAUGAAUGAUCUAGAAUGGACUGGCUGUUUCACAGGAUUUGCAAAAGGAGAAGGCCUCCCACACCUGGGAGCCUAUCAGCUCUGGAUGAUGCAAGUAACAUCUGUACUUUCCCUGCUACAUCUGGACCUUGACUGGCUUUAUGGCGCAAGGCCUUACAAUUCUGGAAAAUGUAAGCCUGCAGCCUCUAUUGCUGGUACCAGGAUCGUUGCCAAACCUUAUUCAUGUUAAAUAAAUCUCACCAAUGAUAUCGCAUGUCUGUUUGGACCAUUGUGGGACUGGAAAUUGGCCGGCUUCCAUUACUUAAAUGUGUGAAGAAAGAUGAGAACAGAGCUCCUAAGUAUUUUCCAAUAUCUUGAUACUUCAUACAAGAAGAGAAAGAGGAGGAGGAGGGGAAGUGGUAAGUGAAGAAGGGGAAGGACUAGGGGGCGAAGGAGGAGAAGAAAUAGCGAACAGGGAGAUGAGGACAGGUAACCAAGAAAAUGACAACUAAGAUUAGAGACAAAGAAAAAAAUCACUAACCAACUGCCACCCUCCCCCACCCCCUGCCCCUGGGCCUCCGGCCCGGGCAGUGAGUCUAAUACAGUACCAAGGCAACCUCACACACCUGGGUCUGUGAAUAUUGAUGAUAUUGCUGCUUUC
rnacentral:lncRNA from 1 species